AACGCGAAGAACCUUACCAGCCCUUGACAUGCCCGGUAUGGGGAGGAGAGAUCUUCUUCUUCAGUUCGGCUGGCCGGGACACAGGUGCUGCAUGGCUGUCGUCAGCUCGUGUCGUGAGAUGUUGGGUUAAGUCCCGCAACGAGCGCAACCCCCAUCUGCAGUUGCCAUCGGUUCGGCCGGGCACUUUGCAGAAACUGCCGGUGACAAGCCGGAGGAAGGCGGGGAUGACGUCAAGUCCUCAUGGCCCUUAUGGGCUGGGCUACACACGUGCUACAAUGGCGGUGACAGAGGGCGGCAAUGGGGCGACCCUGGGCCAAUCUCAAAAAGCCGUCUCAGUUCGGAUUGCUCUCUGCAACUCGAGAGCAUGAAGUCGGAAUCGCUAGUAAUCGUGGAUCAGCAUGCCACGGUGAAUACGUUCCCGGGCCUUGUACACACCGGUACUAA
rnacentral:rRNA from 1 species